rnacentral:rRNA from 1 species
UACGUAGGGGGCAAGCGUUGUCCGGAUUUAUUGGGCGUAAAGAGCGUGUAGGCGGCUUGGUAGGUCCGCUGUGAAAACUCGAGGCUCAACCUCGAGAUGUCGGCGGAAACCACUUGGCUAGAGUCCGGAAGAGGAGAGUGGAAUUCCUGGUGUAGCGGUGAAAUGCGCAGAUAUCAGGAAGAACACCGAUGGCGAAGGCAGGUCUCUGGGCAUUAACUGACGCUGAGGAGCGAAAGCAUGGGGAGCGAACAGG